rnacentral:tRNA from 1 species
GCGGUGGCUUAGUGGUAGAGCAUCUACUUGGCAUGUGGAAGUUCUCAGGUUCAGUCCCCAGCAUCUUCA